rnacentral:rRNA from 1 species
AGAGUGAACGCUGGCGGUAGGCCUAACACAUGCAAGUCGAGCGGUAGAGAGGUGCUUGCACCUCUUGAGAGCGGCGGACGGGUGAGUAAUGCCUAGGAAUCUGCCUAGUGGUGGGGGAUAACGUUCGGAAACGGACGCUAAUACCGCAUACGUCCUACGGGAGAAAGCGGGGGACCUUCGGGCCUCGCGCCAUUAGAUGAGCCUAGGUCGGAUUAGCUAGUUGGUGAGGUAAUGGCUCACCAAGGCGACGAUCCGUAACUGGUCUGAGAGGAUGAUCAGUCACACUGGAACUGAGACACGGUCCAGACUCCGUACGGGAGCAGCAGUGGGAAUAGUGGACAA